AUGACAUGUCCUUGUCCAAUCGGAUAGUGCUGAAAUCUAACACGUGGGCGGGAUUGCUCUGAUACUUCCGAAGCAUGGAUAUAUGAAAAACCGGAUGCACGACUGACAAGCUAGGCGGCAAGGCAAGCCUAUAAGCCACCUUCCCCAUACGGUCAAGAAUCUCAAAUAGGCCAAUAAACCUAGGGCUAAGCUUGCUCUUCUUCCCGAAUCUCAUCACGCCAUCAUAGGCGAUACACGGAGC
rnacentral:lncRNA from 1 species